rnacentral:tRNA from 1 species
GCCGGGGUGGUGGAAUUGGCAGACACACAGGACUUAAAAUCCUGCGGUAAGUAUAUUACCGUGCCGGUUCGAGUCCGGCCCUCGGCACCA